rnacentral:rRNA from 1 species
GAGUGAAGCAGGUAACAGCUCAAAUUUGAAAUCUGGGUCUUUCAGGCUCCGAGUUGUAAUUUGUAGAAGAUGCUUCGGGUGCGGCUCCGGUCUAAGUUCCUUGGAACAGGACGUCAUAGAGGGUGAGAAUCCCGUAUGUGAUCGGUUGCUUGCGCCCAUGUGAAGCUCUUUCGACGAGUCGAGUUGUUUGGGAAUGCAGCUCCAAAUGGGUGGUAUAUUUCAUCUAAAGCUAAAUAUUGGCCAGAGACCGAUAGCGCACAAGUAGAGUGAUCGAAAGAUGAAAAGCACUUUGGAAAGAGAGUUAAACAGUACGUGAAAUUGUUGAAAGGGAAGCGCUUGCAACCAGACUUGCGUGUUGUCGAUCAUCCGGGGUUCUCCCCGGUGCACUCGGCUUCACUCAGGCCAGCAUCGGUUUCGGUGGUUGGAUAAAGGCCUUGGGAAUGUAGCUCCUCUCGGGGAGUGUUAUAGCCCUCGGUGCAAUGCAGCCUACCGGGACCGAGGACCGCGCUUCGGCUAGGAUGCUGGCGUAAUGGUUGUAAGCGACCCGUCUUGAAACACGGACCAAGGAGUCUAACAUCUAUGCGAGUGUUUGGGUGUCAAACCCAUACGCGUAAUGAAAGUGAACGGAGGUGAGAACCCUUAAGGGUGCAUCAUCGACCGAUCCUGAUGUCUUCGGAUGGAUUUGAGUAAGAGCAUAGCUGUUGGGGACCCGAAAGAUGGUGAACUAUGCCUGAAUAGGGUGAAGCCAGAGGAAACUCUGGUGG